CCCUUAGAUGUUCUGGGCUGCACGCGCGCUACACUGAUGCGUUCAACGAGUUUAUGACCUUGCCCGAUAGGGUUGGGUAAUCUUUUUAAAUCGCAUCGUGAUGGGGAUAGAUUAUUGCAAUUAUUAGUCUUCAACGAGGAAUUCCUAGUAAACGCAAGUCAUCAACUUGCAUUGAUUACGUCCCUGCCCUUUGUACACACCGCCCGUCGCACCUACCGAUUGAAUGGUCCGGUGAAGCCUCCGGAUUGGCGCGCACCUCGGUGCCGCCGAGAAGUUGGCUAAACCUUACCAUUUAGAGGAAGGUGAAGUCGUAACA
rnacentral:rRNA from 1 species